CUGCUGUGCACAAAACCGGAGUGGGACACACUCUGUCCGGGGCAGCAGCUCCAGAGAACCCCUCUGUGUGCAGAGAUUCGUGCUCAUCCUCCCCCAGCCAUCACUCAGGGAGGAUUGAUGGGGCAGUGGCCUUGCCUGGCUGCUCACAGUGGAGAAAAGCUGUCCUGGCAGCAGAGAUGAGAUGGAUCAAAUCUCUGGAGAAUGAAGUCUGUUUACCUGCAGAACAGAGGGGUUCAGCAGCAAGGCUGCUUCAGAUUGCCCUGCAGACACCAGCCUGGAAAGGCACUUUUAGGGCCCAGGCUCCAGUGGCAGCCCCAGACAUUUGCACUGAAUUUGGAAGUUUUGUGUGCCAGAAGCUGCAGAUAACACCAGAGCUGAGCUGCUGCUGAUUAGAGGUAAUUAUAGAUUGGCCUGCUAAUUUCUAGAGCAAUUUUUAAGCUUUCACAGAAGAAGGAAUGGAAUCAUUUCUUGUCUUAGCAAAUGACAGCUAUUUGUAUGCAACUCUGUUAAGGACAGCUUUGCAUCCAAAUUAGUGCCUGGAGCAGAGCCAGAGCUCUGAGGCAAUCAGUGGGGAUGGCAGGAUGCUGGCUGAGGGCACAAGUGACAAAUGUCUCCUUUUUCCACCUUACCCAGCAGUUUAAACACAGAGAAUUGGAGCUGUCUUACUCUUCCAACCAACACAGGCACGGAAAUCGCUGUGCCCCUGACUCAGCAGAGGAGGGGAAUUGCCUUCUGCAACUGCCCCACGCCAAGCACUGAGCCUGGACAUCAAAAUUAAUCUUUUACAGGCACUUCUGGAAGUGAAACCUGUUGGCCAAGAGCGUGCAGGGCCUUGUCACCACAAGGGUGACUCGGCACAGGGACAGUGUGGCAAAAAGGAAGCGAUGGAGAAGCAGUGACAGGACUGUCAGGUGGCCACUUGUGCUGGUCACACCACAUUUAUGACAAAAUGAAGCUCCUGGUGUGCUAAUCUUAGUGGCCUGAUUUGUUCUGGAAUUGGAUACAGAGUCCUUGUUAAUGAAGAACCAUCGUGGAAGAAGCUGAAUUAACUCCAUGAAAUAUUUGCUGGUUUUCCUAAUUCAACAAAGUGACAACUCAUUUUAAACUCCUUGUGCCAUCCACAUGGCCUCUGAGGCAUUUUCCUGCAAUCAGUGCUCUGAUGUAGGGGAGCACAGGGUCCCUCAUAAUAAAGGAUUUCCCUCUGGGACCA
rnacentral:lncRNA from 1 species